rnacentral:misc_RNA from 1 species
UUACAGAAGACGAGCACACAAUUUCAUCUACAGUUUCGCAGCUAUCAUUAAAGACAGGACCAACCACCAAGCUACCUAUCCGCUGUCAUAUUCACAGACGACAAGGAUCCCGACGGCGAUCAUCUACCUCCCUACCUCGGGCCGGACAGUUCGACGGCCCUGAGGUUGUAGGUGGAGUCGACGAUCCAGUCGUUGUGGCGCGGGGCGAGCUCCGCCUCCUGCCGCAUCACCUCCACCUUCUGCCACUGCUCCCACCGCUCCGCCAGCCCGUCGCCCUCCAGCAUCCGCGCCACCUCCGACAUCUUGGGCCGCUCCAUCGGGGAGCCCUGCGUGCACAGCAGCGCCACCUGGAUCAGCGACUCCACCUCCUGGUCCACGUACCGGCCCUGCAGGUCCGGGUCCACCAGCUGCUCCAGCUUCUUCUCCUUCAGCAGCGCCUUCACCUGCAAGCACACAACACCCCGCCACAAGCAUAUGCAGCAGCAGCAGCAGCUUCUUCAUUUCUUUCUUCCCUCCCUC